rnacentral:rRNA from 1 species
UACGAAGGGGGCUAGCGUUGUUCGGAAUUACUGGGCGUAAAGCGCGCGCAGGCGGUCUUCCAAGUCAGUGGUGAAAGCCCGGAGCUCAACUCCGGAACUGCCAUUGAAACUGUUGGACUUGAGUACGAGAGAGGAUGAGUGGAAUUCCCAGUGUAGAGGUGAAAUUCGUAGAUAUUGGGAAGGAACACCGGUGGCGAAGGCGGCUCACUGGCCCGAUACUGACGCUGAGGUGGCGAAAGCGGUGGGGAGCAAACGGG